rnacentral:lncRNA from 1 species
GGGGCGGCGGCCGGCCUCGGGGGGGCGGCGCGGAGGCGGCGAAGCGGCGGUGGGGCUCCUGUCCGCACUCGGCGAUUUUUGGGGGGCCGAAAGGGCGGGCGGGCGCGCUGCGGAUCUGACAGGACCUGCCCGUAUAUGUCUAAUAUAAAGACCAUUUCCUGCGGCGCGAGGGGCGCUGCUUGUCCGCGCGCGCCCGGCGGGACCGCCCGCUCCCACCGCCCGAUCCCGCUCCCACCCCCGGCAGCCGCGGAGAGCAGAGUGGGGGCUGCUCCCCCUUGUCGCCUCCCCGGCGGCCGCGGAGGGCGGGCGGCGCGUCCCUAAUUUAUUUAUCACUGUUCCCCAGGAAGGGGUGGAAAGUGGGUUAUCGAUUAUAUAAACACAUCAAUAUUCAUGGCGCUGCGCGGAGGGACGCGGCUCGGCCAGAACAGACAGCGCGGGGGGAGGGGGAGCGCGGCGGCGUUGAUGGGCGCGCUCUCUCUGCGCUCGCGGACGUGGGCGAGCAGCUGCAUGUGCCAGUGGGGCGAUGGCUCCGCGGGCGCGGAAGGGCGCGGGGCGGUGGACAGGUGGCAGCGUGCCCCGCGGAGAGGGGCGGCUCUUUACCUGCGCCCCGCCCGCCCCCCGCGGCGGCACCCCACGUCGGGGGGAACCACCGGCUCUGCGCGUCCCGCACAGCCUCCGCUGUCUUGAGGCGGGCAGCUCGGGGGGCCGCCGGGAACCUCAGCCGCGGGGAGUCCCGGUCAGCGAGAGGAGCGGGCACCGCCGCAAGUGCCGCCCCGCAACGCCGGGCACUGAAAGUUCCCAUCGGUGCUCUAGGAGCUGCAUCCCCGCAGGAGCCAAGGGCUUUCCCUGUCCAUCUCUCUCCAGAGAUUUGCCAUUUUUAGCUCAACAAACCCAUGUGCCUUACACCUGCAAAAUUCCUAUGUGCAUCUGUCAUCUCAGAGAAUUAAAGUAA